UUUUUUAAUUGAUCCUUUCUAUUAUUAUUAUUAUUAUUUUGUUUUAUUUUUAUUAUCUAUAACUAUAGGUAAGAAGAUAUAAAUUUUUUAGUUAACAUAUUUUUCUUUUUGAUUUUACUCUUUAAAAGUUACAUUUUAUUUUAAAAUUUAAAAAUUACAUUUCUUGAAGGUUAUUGUAGUUAAAUUUAAGUUGUUAUAAUUCCUAU
rnacentral:lncRNA from 1 species